AGCAGCCGCGGUAAUUCCAGCUCCAAUAGCGUAUAUUAAAGUUGUUGCAGUUAAAAGCUCGUAGUUGAAUUUCGGGGUCAGCAGGUUGGUCGUGCCAAUGGUAUGCACUGGCCUUGCUGAUUCCUCCCUCUUGAUGAGCCGUAAUGUCAUUAAUUUGGUGUUGCGGGGAAUCAGGACUGUUACUUUGAAAAAUUAGAGUGUUUAAAGCAGGCAAGCGCUUGAAUACAUUAGCAUGGAAUAAUGAAAUAGGACGUUUGAUCCUAUUUUGUUGGUUUCUAGGAUUGACGUAAUGAUUAAUAGGGAUAGUUGGGGGCAUUAGUAUUCAAUUGUCAGAGGUGAAAUUCUUGGAUUUAUUGAAGACUAACUACUGCGAAAGCAUUUGCCAAGGAUGUUUUCAUUAAUCAAGAACGAAAGUUAGGGGAUCGAAGACGAUCAGAUACCGUCGUAGUC
rnacentral:rRNA from 1 species